ensembl:snRNA U1 U1 spliceosomal RNA
AUAUUUACCUCACAGGGGAGACACCAUGUUUGCAAGCAUGGUUUCCCCAGGGCAAAGCUCGUCCACUUCAUUCCUGGGGCCCCCCAUGGUUUCCCCAGACAUGGGAAAUUCAACUGCACAAUUUGUGGCAGUGAAGGACUGAAUUGGCACUCUCCCUUUU